rnacentral:misc_RNA from 1 species
GAUGAAGAACGUAGCGAAAUGCGAUAAGUAAUGUGAAUUGCAGAAUUCAGUGAAUCAUCGAAUCUUUGAACGCACAUUGCGCCCCUUGGUAUUCCGAGGGGCAUGCCUGUUCGAGCGUCAUUUCAACCCUCAAGCACAGCUUUGUCUUGGGCUUCGCCGCUAACCCGGCGGGUCUUAAAAUCAGUGGCGGUGCCGUCGGGCCCUGAGCGCAGUAAUCUCUCUCGCUAUAGGGUCCCGGCGGAUGCUGGCCAGUAACCCCCAAUUUUCUAUGGUUGACCUCGGAUCAGGUAGGGAUACCCGCUGAACUUAAGCAUAUCAAUAAGCGGAGGA